UCUGUGGGUUCUCCACUUGCAAGUGACAAUAAACUAGGCCUUGGUUGCUAUUCUGAGUCUCCGUUGUUUGAUAUUGGGCCUCAACCAGCGGGAACGAACCUUACUUCUAGUGUAACAAGACCAUUGUGGCUGCUGGUGCAUGGGGCAGCAAACCAGGUUCAUGACAGCAGUGGGUGCCAGGAGGAGCCAAACCUCUUUCUCCCCUACCAUUCUUCAAAUCCAAAUACAUCAAACAUACAGAUUUAUUUAUUCUGUGCCCUUCAUUCUCCCUGUAAGCUGGUAUGACUGGAAUAAAUCUGCUGGUAUCAACUGAGCAGAAUUCAUUCUUCACAUAAGGAAGAAGGCCUUUGAUGCCUUGUAGACUACAUACAUUGGACAAGCAACAUUUUAAAAAAAAAUCCUUGCAGUCAUUGAAGAUUUUUAUCCACAUGAGGAGCUGUGUGAGCACCAUAUUCAAAUCAGUUGGACAUGUAAUUGCAUUACAUGAAAAUUCAACAGCUGGAAAGUAUUUUCUUUUGUGAGCUAUGGGCCAUAUGUGAAGCUGGAUCUAUGUAUACAAAUGAAAUUCCCUCAGCACAUUAGCUAUUGAAAAGAAACUGGAGUGAUAGAGAAAUGAAUCUGUUCUUAUUUUUGCAUAAAGCUCUCGAUAUUCAUAUGUCCAGAUGGCAUACAAGAAUCAGUCAGCAGAAAAAACAAAAUUGUUUGACGAUAUGUAGCUUUUCAUGGUAGGCUACUCCUCUCUGUACUCUUCCUAGCCUUGUGAUCAAAGAACUCUCCAAAUGUUUAAAAUGGAAAAAGGUUGAAUAAAUUAGAGUUUAAUUUUGUAUUGCCUGAGAUGCUUUACAGAUGAAUCGUAAUGACCUGCACACUGGCAACAUAGCAAUUGUAGAAGCAUGCUUUAGACUCUUUAUGUACUCAGCAACUCCUCAAGUUGGUGUAGUCUUUUAUGUUAGCCAUCAAUCCUUUCUCUG